rnacentral:rRNA from 1 species
GUUUGAUCAUGGCUCAGAACGAACGCUGGCGGCGUGCCUAACACAUGCAAGUCGCACGAGAAACACAUCCUUCGGGGUGUGGAGUAAAGUGGCGCACGGGUGAGUAACACGUGGGUAACCUGCCCUUGGAACCGGGAUAACUGGCCGGAAGGCCCGCUAAUACCGGAUAAGACCACAUGAGCUUCGGCUUAUGCGGCCAAAGUCGGCCUCUCGAAGAAGCCGGCGUCUGAGGAUGGGCCCGCGGACCAUUAGCUAGUUGGUGGAGUAACGGUUCACCAAGGCUGAGAUGGUUAGCUGGUCUGAGAGGAUGAUCAGCCACACUGGAACUGAGAUACGGUCCAGACUCCUACGGGAGGCAGCAGUGAGGAAUAUUGCGCAAUGGAGGAAACUCUGACGCAGCAACGCCGCGUGGGUGAAGAAGGCUUUCGGGUUGUAAAGCCCUGUCAGGUGGGAAGAAACC